rnacentral:rRNA from 1 species
GGAUACCCGAGGGAAACUUCGGUUAAUACGGUAUAAGACCACACUACCGCAUGGUAGAGGGGUAAAAGGGGCAACCUGGUAUGAGAUGGACUCGCGUCGCAUUAGCUAGUUGGUGAGGUAACGGCCCACCAAGGCGACGAUGCGUAGCCGACCUGAGAGGGUGAUCGGCCACAUUGGGACUGAGAUACGGCCCAGACUCCUACGGGAGGCAGCAGUGGGGAAUAUUGGGCAAUGGAGGAAACUCUGACCCAGCAAUGCCGCGUGAAUGAAGAAGGUCUUCGGAUUGUAAAGUUCUUUAGUCAGGGAAGAAGUCAAUGACGGUACCUGAAGAAUAAGCUCCGGCUAACUACGUGCCAGCAGCCGCGGUAAUACGUAGGGAGCAAGCGUUGUUCGGAAUGACUGGGCGUAAAGGGUGCGUAGGCGGUUGUACAAGUUAGAAGUGAAAUACCCAGGGCUUAACUCGGGUGCUGCUUCUAAAACUGUAUGACUUGAGUGCAGUAGAGGUUAGUGGAAUUCCUAGUGUAGCGGUGGAAUGCGUAGAUAUUAGGAGGAACACCAGAGGCGAAGGCGGCUAACUGGACUGCAACUGACGCUGAGGCACGAAAGUGUGGGGAGCAAACAGGAUUAGAUACCCUGGUAGUCCACACUGUAAACGAUGGAUACGAGAUGUAGGAGGUAUCGACUCCUUCUGCGUCGCA